rnacentral:rRNA from 1 species
ACAUGCAUACAACAUAGCAUUAAUGCAUCGGAUCCCAUUAGAACUCUCCAGUUAAGUGCGCUCGAGCUAAAGUAGUACUGAGAUGGGUGACUACCCGAGAAGUCCUAGUGUUUUACAUGCC